UCCCUUGUGGUCCAAUGGUUAGGAUUCCGCGUUUUCACCGCGGCGGUCGGGGUUCAAUUCCCCGCAAGGGAG
rfam:Intoshia linei isolate Intl2013 Contig_11126, whole genome shotgun sequence.